UACGUAGGUGGCGAGCGUUACUCGGAAUUACUAGGCGUAAAGAGUGCGUAGGUGGUUCUCUAAGUUCGGUGUGAAAUCUCCCGGCUCAACUGGGAGGGUGCGCCGAAAACUGGAGAGCUUGAGUAUGGGAGAGGAGAGCGGAAUUCCUGGUGUAGCGGUGAAAUGCGUAGAUAUCAGGAGGAACACCUGUGGUGCAGACGGCUCUCUGGACCAUUACUGACACUGAGGCACGAAAGCGUGGGGAGCAAACAGGAUUAGAUACCCUGGUAGUCCACGCCCUAAACGAUGCAUACUUGGUGUGGGUCAUUCAGUUGAUCCGUGCCGGAGCUAACGCGUUAAGUACCCCGCCUGGGGAGUACGGUCGCAAGGCUGAA
rnacentral:rRNA from 1 species